CGGAGUGUAGUCCAGCGGUAGGAUAUGUGACUCUUCUCACAAGGCCAGGGUUCGCAUCCUUGCACUCCCA